rnacentral:rRNA from 1 species
UAGGGAAUAUUGCACAAUGGGGGAAAGCCCUGAUGUAGCGACGCCGCGUGAAGGAAGAAGUAUCUCGGUAUGUAAACUUCUAUCAGCAGGGAAGACAAUGACGGUACCUGACUAAGAAGCCCCGGCUAACUACGUGCCAGCAGCCGCGGUAAUACGUAGGGGGCAAGCGUUAUCCGGAUUUACUGGGUGUAAAGGGAGCGUAGACGGCUGAGCAAGUCAGAAGUGAAAGCCCGGGGCUCAACCCCGGGAGCUGCUUUGGAAAUCUGUCAGGCUAGAGUGCUGGAGAGGUAAGUGGAAUUCCUAGUGUAGCGGUGAAAUGCGUAGAUAUUAGGAGGAACACCAGUGGCGAAGGCGGCUUACUGGACGGUAACUGACGUUGAGGCUCGAAAGCGUGGGGAGCAAACAGGAUUAGAUACC